rnacentral:rRNA from 1 species
UACGUAGGUGGCAAGCGUUGUCCGGAUUUACUGGGCGUAAAGAGCGCGCAGGCGGUCGUUCAAGUCGAGUGUGAAAGCCCCCGGCUCAACUGGGGAGGGUCACUCGAUACUGAUCGACUUGAAGGCAGGAGAGGGAAGCGGAAUUCCCGGUGUAGUGGUGAAAUGCGUAGAUAUCGGGAGGAACACCAGUGGCGAAGGCGGCUUCCUGGCCUGCUCUUGACGCUGAGGCGCGAAAGCUAGGGUAGCAAACGGG